rnacentral:rRNA from 1 species
AGAGAUGCAUUGGGUUUAAAGUGUGCGCAGGCGGUUUUGUAAGACAGAGGUGAAAUCCCCGGGCUCAACCUGGGAACUGCCUUUGUGACUGCAAGGCUGGAGUGCGGCAGAGGGGGAUGGAAUUCCGCGUGUAGCAGUGAAAUGCGUAGAUAUGCGGAGGAACACCGAUGGCGAAGGCAAUCCCCUGGGCCUGCACUGACGCUCAUGCACGAAAGCGUGGGGAGCAAACA